GAACUGUUAGUGGUGUGGACACUCUUGAAGAAGAGCCUUGAAGCAUUCCCAAAUAUGAUAGAGGUUUUCAUUAGUCUUCUAUUUGAAGCUCAAUAUCUCAUUGCGAAGUCU
rfam:Capsicum annuum cultivar Zunla-1 chromosome 12, whole genome shotgun sequence